rnacentral:lncRNA from 1 species
UCCUAGGUUUUUUAGCCUACAUGAUCACUUCUGUACAACACUUGGUAAUUGUCCCCAAGUAGGAGUGCUAAACAUAGCAUUAGCGCACAUGCCAUCAUAUCCUUUACUACCCUGUUACCCUCCCCUUAGUGGUUAUAAAAGCGAUUUUAUUUAAUGUACUCUAAUACGUGCAUUACCCGUCCCUUCCCAAUAGCACUGGAGGUGUUUAGGACCAAUAAUUAAGGCAGCUCUAGACUCUCCUAAUGUAUUUAAAUGGAAAAAAUCAAAGAGACAAGCAAAUAACAAAUAGGACAUUCACUUAAAAGGGUGCAAUGAAGGGCUCACUUUGACCUCAUCAUACAACAGACAAUAGCACGUCUCAAACAAUGAGAUUUCAGAUAUUUUAAUGGAUCCUAGAGCAGGAUAUCUAACUGAGCAUGAAAAACAGAAGAUAUGCAACAAUAUGUUAAAGUGAGGAAAUAGAGACCUAAUCAGUUUGCCCAUUGAUUUUAAGGCUUGAGGAAUCUUGACAAUUCACAAAUAACAAAAGCGUAGUUUUACAGUUUGUAGGAUUUCAAUCUCCCUACAGGCGUGCUUAAGCAUGUAUCAAUGAUGUCCUAUGCACAUGGUAUCUAGUCAUUAAUCAGGAGUGCAAUAAACUGG